rnacentral:rRNA from 1 species
CAGCAGUGGGGGAAUAUUGCACAAUGGGCGCAAGCCUGAUGCAGCCAUGCCGCGUGUGUGAAGAAGGCCUUCGGGUUGUAAAGCACUUUCAGUCGUGAGGAAGGUAGUGUAGUUAAUAGCUGCAUUAUUUGACGUUAGCGACAGAAGAAGCACCGGCUAACUCCGUGCCAGCAGCCGCGGUAAUACGGAGGGUGCGAGCGUUAAUCGGAAUUACUGGGCGUAAAGCGCAUGCAGGUGGUUUGUUAAGUCAGAUGUGAAAGCCCGGGGCUCAACCUCGGAAUUGCAUUUGAAACUGGCAGACUAGAGUACUGUAGAGGGGGGUAGGAAUUUCAGGUGUAGCGGUGAAAUGCGUAGAGAUCUGAAGGAAUACCGGUGGCGAAGGCGGCCCCCUGGACAGAUACUGACACUCAGAUGCGAAAGCGUGGGGAGCAAACAGGAUUAGAUACCCUGGUAG